UACGAGGGGGGCGAGCGUUGUUCGGAAUUAUUGGGCGUAAAGGGUGCGUAGGCGGUUCCGCAAGUCCUGUGUGAAAUCUUCGGGCUCAACUCGAAGUCUGCACGGGAAACUGCGGGGCUUGAGUGUGGGAGAGGUGAGUGGAAUUCCCGGUGUAGCGGUGAAAUGCGUAGAUAUCGGAAGGAACGCCGGUGGCGAAAGCGACGUGCUGGACCUCUUCUGACGCUGAGGCGCGAAAGCUAGGGGAGCGAACGGG
rnacentral:rRNA from 1 species